GCUGGUCGUCAUGGCCAUGGGCGUGGAGGACACCCAGCUGCUGCUGUACCCCCGCCUCAUCCCACUGCACAACAUGGAGCUGGAGGGCGAGGCGGUGCCGUCGCCGCUGCGCUGAUCCGAGGACCGCCUGUCCGACGGCGGAGCCUUCCUGCUGGAGAACGGCCACGCCCUCUUCCUGUGGUUGGGCCAGGCCUGCCCCCCCGAGCUCAUCCAGGGGCUCUUCAACCUGCCCUCGCUCGCUCACCUGCAGCCCAACACGAUUGCAGAACAUAUGCAACAGCGCCCCCUGGGGUCACACUUUUCGGUGGGUCGCAGAAUUCGGUGUAAUCGGAGCUGGGGACACGGAGCUGUUCGCCUACGGUGGCUGUGGACCUGUGGGAGAGCAAUCUUGGUGUGAGUUCAACCCACGAGGAGCACGUGUCUCAAGUAUAGUGUCAUUGGUGAGACUUGAACCCAGGUCUGCAGUGCUUAUGAAGGUCAGUCCUUAAAGUCGUCAGUACACUCCACUAGACCACAUACAUCCUGCAUUUGAGAGUACAGGAUCUUGUUGAUUAGGAAAUCCGCCUGUGUCUGUACAUUCUAACUUGAACUACCAGUAGAACUUCUGAGAUUCACAGACUGUGUGGCGCAAUGGAGAAAGACACGUCUGUUGUUGAAAAAUUCACCCUCAUCUGAUGACCUGGGUUCGAGUCCAGGCUGGGUAUGUCUAAAAUAUAUAUAUUUUUUUACACUUUUACCAAACAAGAGGUGCCUCUGUGGUGGAGCUGUUGCCUAUCUGUUCUGGGGACAUGGGUUUGUUUCCUGCCAUUGGCAGUUUGUGGGAACUGUCUAGUGAAGGGAUCCAUUCGCUCACACAUUCAUUUCAAAUGACUGUCUGGGAGAAUGGAUG